AGUCAGUUGGCUCAGUGGGUACUGUGCGCAUUCCAUGCGCCGGGGGCAGGGGUUCGAUCCCCCAACUGACCA